UUAAAAAGCUUCAAACUGGGAUUAGAUACCCCACUAUGCCCAGCCUCAAACUAUGACUCAAUACAAAACACUUCCGCCCGGGAACUACGAGCUCCAGCUUAAAACCCAAAGGACUUGGCGGUGCCCCACCCACCUAGAGGAGCCUGUUCUAUAAUCGAUAACCCCCGCUUAACCUCACCACUUCUUGCCAAUACCGCCUAUAUACCACCGUCGCCAGCCCACCCCGUGAGGGAAUAAGUAGGCACAAUGAUCACCACCAAAACGUCAGGUCAAGGUGUAGCGUAUGAAGUGGAAAGAAAUGGGCUACAUUCUCUAAUCUAGAGCACACGAAAAAUCAUAAGAAAUUAGAUUGGAAGGAGGAUUUAGUAGUAAAAAGAAACAAUAGUGUUCUUUUUAAAUUGGCCCUGGGGCGCGCACACACCGCCCGUCACCCUCUGCAGUCAAAA
rnacentral:rRNA from 1 species